AAUUCUCAAUCAUCUUCUCUUUCUUGGGGGGAGGGGGGAUGGCUUGGAGUUGGGGGUUGCUGGCAGGGGAAAACCCGUCAGCUCUCCUUAAAUGCAUCAGCAAUCAAGUUGGCUAGUCUUUCGACGUGCACGGCUUUGGACGUGAUAAUGAUCGUCAUGGCUGGAGCGUCUUCUAGUUCAUCAGAUAGCUUCUAAUCUCGAGAGGAAGAGAGCGAUCAAGCUUUCAAUGGCUACUAGGGCAGCAGUCUGAAAUGACAAGGCUGGCCGAACGCAGAAAGAGGGCAAGAUCUAUCUCUCGACUUCAGAUAUCAGAG
rnacentral:misc_RNA from 1 species